GGAGGGUGCAAGCGUUGUCCGGAUUUAUUGGGUUUAAAGGGUACGUAGGCGGGCUAAUAAGUCUGAGGUGAAAGCUCUCGGCUCAACCGGGAAAUUGCCUUGGAUACUGUUAGUCUUGAGUACAGUAGAGGUGGGCGGAAUUCAUGGUGUAGCGGUGAAAUGCAUAGAUACCAUGAGGAACACCGUUAGGGAAGCCAGCUCACUGGACUGUUACUGACGCUGAGGUACGAAAGCGUGGGGAGCAAACAGGAUUAGAUACCCUGGUAGUCCGCGCCGUAAACGAUGAAUGCCAGACGUCAGCAGGCAUGCCUGUUGGUGUCACACCUAACGGAUUAAGCAUUCCGCCUGGGGAGUACGGCCGCAAGGUUA
rnacentral:rRNA from 1 species